CAAACGCUGUUUGUUUUUUUAUAUUAACAGAGGUACUGGAACAUUGAAGACAACCAUGGACGUUAUAACUGCGGCAAAGCGUAUUGCAAAAGCUGGCGAAAGAAUAAAUCAAUUAUCAACAGAAGUUGCUGAAAAGUGUCCUCAUUCUCAAUCGAAGAACGAUCUUCUCGCAUACAUUCAACGCGUCUCUCUUUUUUCACAUCAACUCACCAUCACCAGUCGAGUGAAAGCUGAUAUCCAGACAAUCAGUGGCGUCGAAGUUGUGUCAGCGUUGGAAAGUGCAACUUCUCUUAUAACAGCUGCGAAAACUUGAUGAAUGCUGUUAUACUAACAGUCAAAGCUUCUUAUGUCGCUUCUACUAAGUUUCGAGGUUCUAACAGAUCAGUGGUCAACUGGACAAUGAAAGCGCCCAACAUGAAACCGCUUGUCACUCAAAGGAGUUUCGCAGACGAUGACUCAUCACCUCGUAGGUUAACCAAGUCGACAAGAUAUAGUGAAGUAAAUCCACUUGUCCCUCUCGAUCAAUUCGACACAUCUCGACCAAUGAAAAGAGCAGAUUUCUAGAAACUAUCGAUUUUAUAGGGAAACAAAGAAAUGCUUGGCCGACACAACUUUACCAUAACACAGUUCAGAAGAACGACUUUUCUUGUAUUUUAUCAAUAUCUUUUUUGCUCCUGAGAAAUUCAUAAGCCAUUUUACAGUGACCCACCUGCCAAAUUGCCAGUAGCAGCGCUAAGACCAAUGAAAUAUGAAGUCGGAAGUCGUAUACCAGAGACCUGAAGACAUGCUUUCCAUUCACCAUCACUAUCAAUGUCUGUCAUAACUGUUAAAGUUUCUUUGCUACCCAAGUACUGAAUCAAAGCAUAUGUUUCCGCUCCAUUAUUGCGAAAAGAAGCCUAAGAAAAUAUCUGAACUGUCAAAAUUGGACCAUGAAGAUAUUCAAUGAGCGCUUGAAAUCAUGAAAACAGUUAUACAAGAGCAUAAUGGAACGCAAAGCCAUCUCCAUAAAGUGAAUCUCCAGAACCAUGAACUGAAAAAUGGAUAUGGAUUUCCCAAUCGCGAGCUGUUACAGGCUGUAUGGUAAAAGAAGUUUUCAUGUUAAUUCACUACUCGGACAUAAAACAAAUCUUAUUUUAUUACCACUGACCAAUGUGUUCCAAAUAAACCCUUUUUGACUUUGAUGAUCCUCGGUCAAUCGGAUAUGAUUACUGGUUAUCAAUGUGUCACCACCAAAAUCCCAAAAUUGCAGGCUAGUGCUACCAACUAAAUAAAAACUGCUGUAAGCUCUAAGGACUAUGACAAAAACGCCACAUCUUACAUGUUGGAAAACUUUGAAAUACUACUAUUGAUUAAUUCUGAACAUGCUGAGUUAGCAAAUCAAUUGUAGAUUUUCAUCAAUGUCAAUUUAUUUCUACAUAAAUUAAAAAAAUAACCAGCA